rnacentral:rRNA from 1 species
AACGAACGCUGGCGGCAUGCCUAACACAUGCAAGUCGAACGAGACCUUCGGGUCUAGUGGCGCACGGGUGCGUAACGCGUGGGAACCUGCCCUUAGGUUCGGAAUAACUCCCCGAAAGGGGUGCUAAUACCGGAUAAUGUCUUCGGACCAAAGAUUUAUCGCCUUUGGUUGGGCCCGCGUUGGAUUAGCUAGUUGGUAGGGUAAAAGCCUACCAAGGCGACGAUCCAUAGCUGGUCUGAGAGGAGGAUCAGCCACACUGGGACUGAGACACGCCCCAGACUCCUCCGGGAGGCAGCAGGGGGGAAUUUGGGACAAUGGGCGAAACCCGGACCCAGCAAUGCCGGGUGAGUGAGGAAGGCCUUAGGUUUUUAACGCUCUUUUACCCGGGAUGAUAAGGCCGUUCCCGGGGGAAAAAGCCCCGGUUACCCCCGU